rnacentral:siRNA from 1 species
AAGUGAUAUGAUGCGGUUGGACAC